GUGGCUGUAUUUAAGAUCCCUUCAGUGGUGUGCAGAAAUCUGAAACAGUGUAAAUUCAACUGCUGUAGCAUUGACAAGUAACAUUGUCAGAGAUGAACAAACUUCACGAAGAAGGUUGAAUGUUACACAUCUAGGACCUAGAAAAUAUGAAGGGGAAAUAUUUCUGGUUAUAGCACUGCAAAAACACACUGAAACAUCACCUUCACAGGGGAAUACCGAAAUUGACAUUGAGAGAGACAUGGAAAGUCAGAAUGGGAAAAGGUCCUGCCCAUACUAUUUUCCUCUCCUCCUCGCUGCUCCUUAGGUCUGCAGUAUGUGGCAAAUACAUCCACAUCCGAGUGGAAUUGGAGCUGGAGCUGCGUAAGGCUGAACGCAUCCAUGGUUGCUUCUGGCUUUGUGAGCAUCCAAGCUCGUCUCUGACAGAUCACUAGGCCAAUCACAUCUAACAGUACAGUCUAACAGGGAAAAUACAAUCUUUGCUAAAUAAUAAGGCUAUGUAGGCUUUGAAUUGCCGCAUAAUGAGAGCAAGCUCUGAAAUUAAUGACGUAUUUAGCAAAGUUCUCUAAGGCUAAAGCUUCUAUGUCUUCAGUAAAUGGAUGAACCAUUGUGUGGUGUUAAGGCUAUUCUAAUUAGAAAUGACACUGCAAACAUUUUAGCAGGACACUUUUUUUUUUUUUUCACUGAAUAGCUAUUUGAAUCCUGCAGCCACAUGGCUUCUAACACGUACACGCCUCUAGCAGAAGUUGGCCCUUCACCUCAUCUUGCUUCUUUGAGAGGCUGGAUAAUGAAGUACUUUCCCAAUAACUAUGAAA